CCAUCCGGCAUCCUAGAUGGGGAGCCGUGGGACCUCCCUCGUGCCUGUGGUGGUGGGAUCCCAUGGCAGUGUUUUCCUGGUGGCCCGGCCGUG
rnacentral:pre_miRNA from 1 species